AGUUAAAGCGGUGUGAGUUAAUCUGUAAUUUCCCGCCCCCCCCCCCAAAAAAAGAGCAGUCAGAUGGCUUAUUAAAAAUAGGAGAGCAGAAACAGUAUUACCAGCUUCAUGUAAAGUUGGAUCUGCUCUUGGCUCAGUGGGCUCCUGCUGAUUCCCGGGGAGCAAACAGAAUCGCUGCGCAUCACAUAUGAGCACAGCCUUUUCUUUGACCUUGAGAUAAGGGACCACCCUCGGGGUCUGCAAAGCUCACGUGUCCUCUCCCUCCCCCGAAACACUUCCUUCUUUCCUCCAUUGUUUUUAAACAUGGAGUUUUAAGAUUUGAUUGAUUGAUUGAUUGAUUUUAAAUUUUAUUUUAAUUCCAGUGUUGUUAACAUUCAGUGUUAUAUUAGGUCUUCCUUCCUCCACUUUCGAUGAGUGAGCAUCUAGUGCUGAACGGAUUUAAUCUUGUGAAAGGCAGAACUUUCUGGAAGAUACAAAUUCACCUGACUUCGAUCAGAUAAAAGAUAAGGUCCCUAUAGUUCAGCGUGGGUGAGGAAGAGCGCCCACCUUAUGUGAAAAGUGCGGACUCGUUUCUGCCCUCUGCCAUCGUGGUGAAGGUUUGUUGAGCAACGGACCGCUUCCCUAAGGAGCAGGGUGCUCGCCGAGAACCUACGAAGAGCAUGGGCGUGGAGGCUGACCGCCUCGGGUCCAGCCCCGGGAUUCAGCUUGGAGCUGGGAUGCGCAGGUCACUGGGCGCCUGCACCUGCGUUCCCUCAUCUGCAGUGGCUGUGGGCAUCAGCGUCCUCAUCCGAGCUGUUGUAGGGACGAACCCGUGGACCCAGAGACUUUCGCCAGCCAAGGCCAGAGUCAUUCUGGGACAGCUGGCCCCCGAGCCCUGCUGAGGAGCCUGGACGCAGCCCUCUGCUCCGAGGAGCCGUAUUCCUGGCCGGACAUGAAAGGAAAGAUUAAAACAGCCCGUUCUCUGCCGGCUGCUUAUCCCAAGCGGGAGCCCAGCGAAAUCCAUGCCGCGAGCCCUCAUCCUUCUCGUCUCGUCCCACCAACCGCCGCAUCCUGACGGGGUCUGAUGAGACCUGGGGGUCUCGGGGUACACGGAGCCUGUGCCACACCCCGUGGGCCGCUUGUGCCCAUUCUGCGGAGGCGGCCGCUGGGGCUGAGGGAGGUGGCCGGUCCUCGAGUGACGGGUGACGAGUGACGGGGGUCGGCCUGCGAUGGGAUCCGCCCGUUGCAGCGCCCGGGUCCCUUCCUCCUUCCUAUUUGUCUUCUGCAGACCGAGGGGCUGGGCCUCGCCUGUACAGGGUGUUCCCUGCAGCUUCGGGAUGGUGUUGUGUAAUCCUGUGGCUGCGUGUGGUGUGUGGGACGCUGAGCGUGGGGGCCUCUGCGGGGUCAGGCAAGGUUAAGCCGAGGCCCGAGCCCGUGGCGUCGGAUGGGAGCGGCCGACAGCACCCCCUCGCCCUGGGGGACCGUGGGGGCAGAUGAUUUACGGCCGUCUCCUCCCUUGGUGCCACGGCAGAUGCAUCCGGAGACGACGUGAGGACACACAGAUGGGCGAGAAGAGUCUCCCACGAGGCGGCCCCGUCCCACUCGCCUGAAUCAGAGGGUCCGGCCGUGCCCGGCGGGGGCCCCGGGUGGGAGCCGGGCUUCCUUGGCUUUCUGUGACUUUACAAAAGCAUCGUGUUGUUAGCGCAGAGCUUUGGCACACCUGGGCCCGGCGUGCGAGGCUGCUCUGGAACAGAAGUGGUUCAAAGGGCAGGGCCGUUUGGCUGGCGCGUGGGCCACCCCAGCGCUCUCCGGCCUCUCUGUGUGAGAGCAGUAACUCUCCAGUGAGACGGAAACGAUUCUGAGAUAACCGGAGAACACUGGCUUUCCACGCACACAAACAAAGCAGUUCAAUUUUU